rnacentral:rRNA from 1 species
GUAGGUGGCAAGCGUUGUCCGGAAUUAUUGGGCGUAAAGCGCGCGCAGGUGGUUCUUUAAGUCUGAUGUGAAAGCCCCCGGGCUCAACCGGGGAGGGUCAUUGGAAACUGGGGAACUUGAGUGCAGGAGAGGAAAGUGGAAUUCCACGUGUAGCGGUGAAAUGCGUAGAUAUGUGGAGGAACACCAGUGGCGAAGGCGACUUUCUGGCCUGUAACUGACACUGAGGCGCGAAAGCGUGGGGAGCAAACAGGAUUAGAUACCCUGGUACUCCACGCCGUAAACGAUGAGUGCUAAGUGUUGGGGGGUUUCCGCCCCUCAGUGCUGCAGCUAACGCAUUAAGCACUCCGCCUGGGGAGUACGGUCGCAAAGACUG